ensembl:misc_RNA RNaseP_nuc Nuclear RNase P
GGGGAAUGGAAACUUUGGACAGUUAUAAAAGUCACUUAAGACUUCAGUUAUUUUAAAAGCGGCCUUAACAGGGUCCUCCCUGAUUUUGGGGACAUGAGUUCCCAGAGAAUGGGGCUCUGUGUGCAAGGGCAGACUGGGCAGGAGAUGCCUUAGGCCCCAUCCCUUGGGGAGGGGCAUGGCGGAUACUUCCUUAGCCAGAGCUUGGAACAGACUCAAGGCCAGCAAAAUGAGUUCAAUGGCUGAGGUGAGGUACCCUGGUUGGGGGCCUCAUAACCCAAUUCAGUCUACUCUCCCCCGCCC